GGAACUGCAGAAGCUUCUUGAGGAGCCGGAUGUCUGUUUAUGCAGUCAAUUGCAAGACCACUUCACUGGGUCCAGAUGAGAGGUGCAGGAUGGAGAAGGAAAUCAAGAAGCUGAAGGAGAUGCUCUCCAUUCACUUGGACCUGAUUCAGCAUCAGGCUGACCAAGCUGCCUCUCGGGAGACCCAGGUCAAGGCUCUCAGGCGGGAAAAUGACAGGCUGCUGCAGAAGGUGGAGCGGAUGGAGCGGCGUCUGUCGGUGCC